rnacentral:rRNA from 1 species
GACGAACGCUGGCGGCGUGCUUAACACAUGCAAGUCGAACGAUGAAGCCCAGCUUGCUGGGUGGAUUAGUGGCGAACGGGUGAGUAACACGUGAGUAACCUGCCCUUGACUCUGGGAUAAGCGCUGGAAACGGCGUCUAAUACCGGAUACGACCUGCCCCGGCAUCGGGUGCGGGUGGAAAGUUUUUCGGUCAAGGAUGGACUCGCGGCCUAUCAGGUAGUUGGUGAGGUAAUGGCUCACCAAGCCGACGACGGGUAGCCGGCCUGAGAGGGUGACCGGCCACACUGGGACUGAGACACGGCCCAGACUCCUACGGGAGGCAGCAGUGGGGAAUAUUGCACAAUGGGCGAAAGCCUGAUGCAGCAACGCCGCGUGGGGGAUGACGGCCUUCGGGUUGUAAACCUCUUUUAGUAGGGAAGAAGGGCUUCGGCUUGACGGUACCUGCAGAAAAAGCACCGGCUAACUACGUGCCAGCAGCCGCGGUAAUACGUAGGGUGCAAGCGUUGUCCGGAAUUAUUGGGCGUAAAGAGCUCGUAGGCGGUUUGUCGCGUCUGCUGUGAAAACCCGAGGCUCAACCUCGGGCCUGCAGUGGGUACGGGCAGACUAGAGUGCGGUAGGGGAGAAUGGAAUUCCUGGUGUAGCGGUGGAAUGCGCAGAUAUCAGGAGGAACACCGAUGGCGAAGGCAGUUCUCUGGGCCGUUACUGACGCUGAGGAGCGAAAGCGUGGGGAGCGAACAGGAUUAGAUACCCUGGUAGUCCACGCCGUAAACGUUGGGAACUAGAUGUGGGGACCUUUCCACGGUCUCCGUGUCGCAGCUAACGCAUUAAGUUCCCCGCCUGGGGAGUACGGCCGCAAGGCUAAAACUCAAAGGAAUUGACGGGGGCCCGCACAAGCGGCGGAGCAUGCGGAUUAAUUCGAUGCAACGCGAAGAACCUUACCAAGGCUUGACAUAUACCGGAAACUUCCAGAAAUGGUUGCCCCGCAAGGUCGGUAUACAGGUGGUGCAUGGUUGUCGUCAGCUCGUGUCGUGAGAUGUUGGGUUAAGUCCCGCAACGAGCGCAACCCUCGUUCUAUGUUGCCAGCACGUCAUGGUGGGAACUCAUAGGAGACUGCCGGGGUCAACUCGGAGGAAGGUGAGGAUGACGUCAAAUCAUCAUGCCCCUUAUGUCUUGGGCUUCACGCAUGCUACAAUGGCCGGUACAAAGGGCUGCGAUACCGUAAGGUGGAGCGAAUCCCAAAAAGCCGGUCUCAGUUCGGAUUGAGGUCUGCAACUCGACCUCAUGAAGUCGGAGUCGCUAGUAAUCGCAGAUCAGCAACGCUGCGGUGAAUACGUUCCCGGGCCU